UACGUAGGGGGCUAGCGUUGUCCGGAUUUAUUGGGCGUAAAGAGCGUGUAGGCGGCCUGGUAGGUCUGCUGUGAAAACUCGAGGCUCAACCUCGAGAUGUCGGCGGAAACCAUCUGGCUAGAGUCCGGAAGAGGAGAGUGGAAUUCCUGGUGUAGCGGUGAAAUGCGCAGAUAUCAGGAAGAACACCUAUGGCGAAGGCAGCCCUCUGGGACGGUACUGACGCUGAGACGCGAAAGCGUGGGGAGCGAACAGG
rnacentral:rRNA from 1 species